rnacentral:SRP_RNA from 1 species
GGUCCUGCGCAAUGGAGUUCUGUGAACCUCGUCAGGUCCGGAAGGAAGCAGCGAUAAGCGGGUCACUCCCUGUGCCGCAGAUUUGCC